rnacentral:rRNA from 1 species
UACGAAGGGGGCUAGCGUUGUUCGGAAUUACUGGGCGUAAAGCGCGCGCAGGCGGUCCUUUAAGUCAGGGGUGAAAGCCCAGAGCUCAACUCUGGAACUGCCUUUGAAACUAGAGGACUUGGGUACGGGAGAGGUGAGUGGAAUUCCGAGUGUAGAGGUGAAAUUCGUAGAUAUUCGGAAGAACCCCAGUGGCGAAGGCGGCUCACUGGCCCGUUACCGACGCUCAGGCGCGACAGCGUGGGGAGCAAACAGG